CUCUCAACCCAACAGCAGCUGAAGCGGCUGCCAUGAUAGCAGGGCCUACGAUGAACCUUACGGCUGCCGCAUAGGCAGCCAUUGCAUUCCCACUAGCAAUUAUCCUUGGCUGCAAUGCCAUGAACAAACCUGCAAAUUUGACAUUUAACGAUAAGUUUUUGGAGUUAAAUUUUCCUUCUAAUUGAAGUGAUCUAGCCAAACAUUGUGGGGAUGUUUGGUAUGACUUUUUUUGGGGCUGGAAACGGAUUCAAGUAACCUUUUCCAUUACUGGAUGUUUGGUUAGAGGUAUGAAGUAACAAUUACCAUUACCCGAGAGUAACCUAUUCGUCCCCUUUGUUAUUGGUCAAACCCUAGAGGUAACAGUUCCCUUUUAACAUAGCCGCACAACUCCUCUCUUUUUCCUACGAUUUUGGUUCGUUUUCAAGUGAAUUUCCGUGUCUCUCACAAGUUGCAGGCGAUUCAUUAGUGUUCUUGAAAUGGCACGUAUAAGAAAGAAAGGAAGGGAAAAUCAACUUCAAAAGUGUCCUACCUAAUUGGGGCUUGAGAGCUGAUCCGCACAUUGAGUCAAGGAUUAAGCAUUGGUCGGAGAAGUACUCUGUAAUGUCAGAGAUGCUGUCUCUUUCUGGUUUUGAGUGGGAUGCGGAAAAGAAAAUGUUACAGGCAGAGAAAGUUGUGUUCGAUGAAUGGGAGAAGUCUCACAAAAAAGCAAAGGGCUGGGGUUAUAUGGCAAAUGCAUGGUUCAAAGCUGAAGAAAAGGAGCAAAAAUGAACGAUAAAGUGAAUAAGGUGUUGGAAGAAGUUAUGAAGUUAGAUGAAAUUUCUCCUUCUGAAACUUUGGAAGUUGCAAAUAUUCUCAUGGCCAAAGAACACAAGCUUCGUACAUUUUAUCAAGUCCCACACAACUUGAUGAAGCUAUAUGUUCUAGUCCCACACAAGCUUAGCUUUAUUUAAGUAAUUUUGUAAACUUGGAGUUUAGUCACCUGCUUGAUUUCCUACCCAGACUGCUACGGAGGUGUUGUCUGAUACAUAUUAUUGUAUAUAUAUUUUGUAAUUAGUUUAUUUAAUUACUGAUUUAGCCUUGUAAUACAUACUGCUAAUAUCUGUCCUCUGCUAUUGUUGCUUGUAAGUUAUAACUGCUAAUUUCCGAUGGUAUUUUAUUUUUAUUUUUAUGAUACUCCGUAUUUUAUUUUUUA